CUUCACCGAACCCAGCCACAACGGCCGGUCCUCAUCCCGGCCCUGACCGUAGGUCGCGAGAAGGGCCUGCGCCUC
rfam:Streptomyces auratus AGR0001 genomic scaffold Scaffold5, whole genome shotgun sequence.